rnacentral:rRNA from 1 species
UGGGGAAUUUUGGACAAUGGGGGCAACCCUGAUCCAGCAACGCCGCGUGAGGGAUGAAGGUUCUCGGAUUGUAAACCUCUUUUAUGGGGGACGAAACGCGCCGUGAAUAACGGCGACUGACGGUACCCCGUGAAUAAGCCACGGCUAACUACGUGCCAGCAGCCGCGGUAAUACGUAGGUGGCAAGCGUUACUCGGAAUUACUAGGCGUAAAGCGCAGGUAGGCGGUUGGGCAAGUCCGUAAUGAAAUCUCCCGGCUUAACUGGGAGGGGUUUAGGGAUACUGCCUGACUCGAGUGUGGUAGAGGUAACUGGAAUUCCCGGUGUAGCGGUGAAAUGCGUAGAGAUCGGGAGGAACACCUAUGGCGAAAGCAGGUUACUGGACCAAUACUGACGCUGAGCUGCGAAAGCUAGGGGAGCAAACAGG